rnacentral:lncRNA from 1 species
ACAACUUCAAGGACCUUCAUCACGAGGGUCACAACCAUGACAACCUUUGUUAGGACGCAUACAAUUUCCAAGACUUCAUGUAUGAUGAAGCUUCACCGCUGAUACUAGAAUUGCAGGCCACACUAUGGCCACUACUAUGCAGACCUCCCACAUUGCUAGUGUAUGAUGGUGUAACACCCCACUGAUCCCACACAAUGGAUGAUACCAAAAAAAACCUUUCUACAAAACUUAUGCAACACAUAGAGAAAGAAAGUAUUGCAAAAUCCGGCAACACCUCCCUUGAAAGUAGCAUAACAAGGGAAGCAUAUAGUUUAUACAGGAUAUAAAAGAAAGAUAAUUGACAUAGUAUAAUCAAAAUGCAACGGUAGAAAAGAACAUUCAUGACCAGACAAAAGAUAGACAUCUCAGCCCACCAAACUAAACAGUUCAACUACCAUGAAAGAUUAGAAUGUAAUAAUUCCCUAGACUUGACCCUUCCUGUUUAACAUCAUUAAUAAUCAGUUAUUCCUUUAUUUAAAAGUGUGGUGGCCGUGCUGCUACAUCCCUUCUUUCCCAAAGCAAAGAUCAGGUGCCUGCAUCAGACAAUGCAAGAGUGAGAUGACACAUCUCAGCAAGUAAAAAAAACAAACAACAGUUGGACAAUGCAAGCCAACCGUGCAUAAGCAACCACAUGGUUCCCAACUUCUUCCUUAAAUAUUAAUUUGCAGCAAGUAAGCAAGUAAUCAAUUACUCAAUGCCAAGAUGAAUUACAAAGUAAAGAUCCACCUUAUCCACAUCACCAAAAUAGGUUCCACACUUCACCCAUGAAUGCACAUGGCUACAGAUGCAACAUGACUUCUGCCUUCAUACCUCUAAGGAUAUGAAGCUGCAUCAUACCCCUUCUUGGGAAACAUAUGAUGCUCAUUGUACCGGUACGGUCGGACCAUAAGAUCGCGACGAAAACUUCAAUGCAAUGGAUGAUGAAUGCAUUAUGCAUGUCAACAACAUGAGUUCUUCCCAAAUAAAAUGUGCUAGACAUAUACUUCCACCCAUUUCACAUCAAUAACCACAUGGGUAACAUGAUCAAACCACACCCUCCACAUGUAUAAUCAAUAAAGCAUGAAUAAUUUCAAACGAUGGUACCCAAUUAGGAAUAUGGAUACGAACACAAAUAGCACAAACAUAAUCAAGUAUGAGACUCUUCAAUCAAAAGACGAAAUAACCAUCACUGUUUUACUUGCCUUUACCGAAGUUCGGGCAAAAUCCCUAAGAACGAUCCGGAAGUCCACCACCUGUUUUUGACACCCAACUUAGUGCACCAAAUUCUCAUGAAAAAACUCAAAGACAACACUGCACCUACGCGCAAUCUCAAACCCCGCCGCGGUAACAAUUCUCCCCUCACUAACCAAACUGCAGCGGCGCUGCUUAACAAUUCCAUAACUUAAAAUUUAGGACAGCAGUGAUGAUAAACAAAAACUUCAGAGACAACUACAUAAAAUUCCCCACAAGUUUUGUAUACAACUCAUGAUUGAAUUCUAACAUCUACUUACCUCUAAACGGUCCUCAAAAUAAACUCUGCAAUCUGUUUUUUUUUUCUGAUUUGAGCAGCGUCAUACGCGGAUUCAAACAGCGAUAACUUUUAAAAUAUAAUUCCGAUUUGAGCGCAUAAGUACUUGUUGGAAAGAUAAGAAAAAGCCCUACAUGAUUCUCAUACUGAUUAACACUAAUUACUCCCGAAACAUCCCCAGAAACUGCUAACACUGCUGCUGUUCAUCACUCUGAAAAAUCUGUUUUCUGGACAGCCACAUACCCGGAUUCAAACGAUGAUAACUUUUAAUUUAUAACUCCAAAUUGAGCGCAUAAAUACUCGUUGGAAAGAUAAAACAAAGUUCUACAAGAUUCUCAUACUGAUUAACACUAAUUGCUCCCGAAAAAUCCCCAGAAACUGCUAACACUGCUGCUGUUCAUCACUCUGAAAAAUCUGUUUUCUGGACAGCCACAUACCCGGAUUCAAACGAUGAUAACUUUUAAUUUAUAACUCCAAAUUGAGCGCAUAAAUACUCGUUGGAAAGAUAAAACAAAGUUCUACAAGAUUCCCAAAUUGAUCCCCAUUAAAUCUUCACGAAAAAAAAACUAAAAACUGCUGGAACUACCGCUGUUCAUCCACCACGCAAAAUUCUGGACAGCCCCCCUCUAUCUAAUCGCAAACGCAACAUCUAAUCAAUUGAAUCGCAGCGCAAAUGAACAAGGGAUGAACACAAAAGAAAAAUCACCUUGGGUUCUCCCCUUUUCCUUCCUCCCUUCUUCCUUCCACCAAAACGAUUGGAGAUUCGCACCAAAAGACGAUGAUCCGAGCGGCACGGAGUAGCACCUAGGGAGGAGGGGAUUGGGGGGGGAGGCGGCUAGGGUUUUGGUGGCUGCAACAAUGGAGGGAGGAGGAGGUGGGCAGGGGGGGCAGCGGCCAAGGGGAAAGGAGGAGUGGGGGGGCGGCUGCACAUGGGGGGGUAGUUAGGAGGGUGGCGGCUAGGGUUUGGGAGGGCUAAUGGGCCGAAACACCAAUUGCGGCCCAACUAACCCACGCGACAGCUCCCGACCACAACGCAAACGUCAAACCAAAUAAAUUCUACUGCCCUAGUUGCGAAUGUUGUUCACAAAAUUCCAAAUCCCCAAAACAACAACUGGUUGAGGGAAAAAAACAAAAAGAACAACCCCCAACUUCUCUUCUUUGCAAACCGGGUAUCACAUUCUACCCCUCUUAAAAGAAUUCGACCUCGAAUUCUGACGCUUCUAUCGGAAUGACACAAGAAAAGAUUAGCGAAUCAACAACACUUACCCACAACGAAAAGUUCCGGGUACUUCUGCCGCAUCAACUCCUCAAGUUCCCACGUAGCCUCGCGCUCUGACUGAUUAGACCAUAAGACCUUGACAUACUUAAUUGAUCUCUUCCUCAACACACGCUCCGAGAAUUCCAAUAUACGCACCGGACGGCACUCCAGAGUCAGAUCCUGCUGCACCGCAAUUGGUUCCAUCUCAAUCUGAUGGUCCGGAUCCCGCAAGAACUUCCUCAACAUAGAGACAUGAAAAACCGGGUGUACCCCUGCCAUGGAAUCCGGCAGCAGCAAGCGAUAAGCCAGGCUGCCCACUCGAGCCAAGAUAGUGAACGGUCCAAUGUAUCUUGGGCUGAGCUUCCCAGAGACACCGAACCGAACAACUCCCUUAGUGGGUGAUACCCUGAGAAGGACUUGGUCACCCACAGCAAAUUCCAGAUCCCGCCUCCUCACAUCAGCAUAACUCUUCUGACGACUCUGAGCUGCCAAAAUAUUCUGACGAAUUUCCCGAACCUUUUCAGAAGUUUGCUGAACCCAAUCAGGACCAACCAGGGAUCUCUCUCCCAAAGUCUCCCAGCACAGAGGAGAGAUACACCGCCUGCCAUACAAAGCCUCAAAUGGUGCCAUCUUGAUGCUAGCUUGGUAGCUGUUGUUAUACGCAAACUCUGCCAGAGCAAGAUGGUCCUCCCAGCUACCCUUCCAUGACAGAACACAAGCACGCAACAUAUCCUCCAAGGUUUGGAUUGUUCGCUCUGACUGAGCAUCCGUCUGAGGGUGAAAAGCGACACUAAGCGAAAGCUUGGUGCCCAAUGCACUGUGGAGACUCUCCUAGAAUUUGGAUACAAAUUUGGAGUCUCGAUCAGAAACAAUAGACUUAGGUACCCCGUGAAGCCUGACUACUUCCUUCAUAUACAAGGGAACCAAAUCUGAAGUUGAAUUCGUGGUCUUCAUGGGAAUAAAAUGCGCAGACUUAGUCAAGCGAUCCACUACCACCCAAAUAGCAUCCCUGCCACGAGGGGAACGAGGUAGACCCACCACAAAAUCCAUGGUGAUAUGCUCCCAUUUCCACUCUGGAAUUUCCAAUGGCUUCAGCAAACCUGCAGGCCGCUUAUGUUCGGCCUUCACGCGCUGACAUACUUCACAGGCGGCCACAUACUUAGAAAUGUCAACCUUCAUCCGCUUCCACCAGAAGUUUUGCUUCAAAUCUCCGUACAUUUUGGUUUCGCCAGGAUGGACGGUGUAAGGAGUUUUAUGAGCUUCUCGCAGGAUAUCCAGCUUCACCUCUGAUUUCUGAGGCACACAAAGACGGCCCCUGAAACGAACCAAAUCAUUCUCAUCAAUGGUGAACUCCCGCGGUUUACCAUCACCAACCCUCCUUCGGGCUUCCUGCAAAAGACGAUCCUGCUGCUGAGCCGCACGCACUCUCUCCAUAAGAGAGGAUUGAAUAAGCAUCUGAGUCUCCUCGCUAGCGGUGCCGACAUAACACAAAGCGAUCCCCAAACGGUCCAGAUCAGCGAUCAACGGCAAGGCCACCUUUGGAACCCCGGACCUGCUAAGGGCAUCCGCCACCACAUUAGCCUUCCCCGGGUGAUAAUGAAUGGACAAAUCAUAAUCUUUAAUCAAUUCUAGCCACCGACGCUGCCUCAAAUUCAGCUCCUUCUGGGUAAAAAUAUACUUGAGACUUUUGUGAUCAGUGAAAAUGUCACAAGCCUCGCCAUAAAGGUAAUGCCUCCACGACUUUAGAGCAAAAACCACCGCAGCCAAUUCCAGAUCAUGAGUUGGAUAAUUCCCCUCAUGCUUCCUCAACUGCCUUGAGCCAUAAGCAAUCACCCUGCCUUCCUGCAUCAGCACACAGCCAAGACCAAUACGCGAAGCAUCCGUAUAAACUGUGAAACGCUUACCGCUCUCAGGCAAAGCUAGGAUAGGAGCGUCCACCAACUUGCUCUUCAAUGACUGAUAACUGAUCUCACAAUCGCCGGACCAGACGAAGGGAACACCCUUCCCCAAGAGCCUAGUCAAAGGCUUAGCAAUGCUGGAAAAAUUUGGUACGAAACGCCGAUAAUACCCAGCAAGCCCCAAGAAACUUCGGAUUUCAGAGACACUAGAAGGUCUCUUCCACUCCACUACAGCCGCAACAUUCUUGGGGUCAACCGCAAUACCCUGCUGAUUAAUCACGUGCCCCAGGAAAGCCACUUCAGAUAGCCAAAAGGCACACUUCUUCAACUUGCCAUAGAAUUGAUUCUUCCUUAGGGCACCCAGAACGAGACGGAGAUGCUGAUCAUGCUCGGCCUCAGUCUUUGAAUAAAUCAAAAUAUCAUCUAGGAAUACGACCACAAAAUCGUCCAAGAAUUCAUGCAGCAUCCUAUUCAUUGCUUCCAUAAACGCAGCAGGGGCAUUAGUUAAGCCAAAGGACAUGACUAUGAACUCAUAAUGCCCAUACCUGGUGCAGAAGGCAGUCUUCUCAAUAUCCUCCUCACGAAUCCUCAAUUGAUGAUAACCAGAGUUCAAAUCAAUUUUGGAGAACACCUGGGCACCCCUCAACUGCUCAAAGAGGACCUCAAUUCGGGGAAGCGGAUAUUUAUUCUUGAUUGUCACUUGAUUCAAAGCGCGAUAAUCCACACACAGCCGCUUGCUUUUAUCCUUCUUCUCAACAAACAAUACUGGGGAAGCCCAUGGAGACCUGCUAGGCCUAAUGAAGCCCUUAGCCAGCAGAUCAUCCAAUUGCCGCUUUAAUUCAAUCUGCUCCUUUGGAGCCAUUCGAUACGGGGCCUUAUGAAUAGGCUGCGUACCCGGGAUCAGCUUAAUCUCAAAAGCUGCAUCGCGCUCCGGAGGAAUGCCUGGAAGCUCUGCUGGAAACACGUCAGCAAAGUCACACACCACCCGGAUGUCCUACACCCGCAAGGCAGCCUCGCCCUCCACCACCAUAGAGAAAAAGAUCCCCGACUUCCUUGACCAGCGAUCAGGAAGCAAUUGCGCCAACAAGGAUAAUGUGAACUUUGGAGAACUUCCCAAGAAUACCACCUCCUUACCCGACGGCGCCUACAAUAACACUGUCUUCCAGAAGCAGGAUAUAACCGCGCGAUACUGGGAUAACCAAUCCAUACCCAAGAUAACAUCGAAUGCCCCCAAGGAAAUCACCACCAGAUUAGCCGAAAAAACCUCAUCAGCAAGAAUGACGGAACACCCCUGACAAACUGAACAGCUACUAAUGGAGCCAUUAGCAGAACUGACCAAAAUUGGGUGACCCAACCUCUGCACCGAAAGACCAGCCCGCGACACAAAAUCCUCCGAAACAAACGAAUAGCUAGCGCCAGAGUCAAAAAGAGCAUGGGCUGCAAAUGAAUCAACUGAAAUCGUACCUGUCACCACGUCUCCUUGCUCCCUGCCAUCCGUAGCGGGUAGCACAUAAGCUCCAGAAAUACCCGCAGAAGAGGAAGCUCCCGGAGUGAAAUUAAUAGAAGAACCCCACUGAGCCACCGGAGGAGGCUGGCGCGGAGCUCCAAACUGAGACAGCACAGGGGUAGACGGCGCAGGAGUAGGCACAACCUGAUACUGCGGAAAACCUUGCAUCGGCACGAACUGAGAAGUCCCGGGCACAUAAAGCUGUUGUGGAGGAAGAGGAACUGAAAACUGCUGCUCAGCACUUGACAUCAUAUUGAUAGUGCCCUGAGAAGAGGAGGAAGCUAUCGGCUCCCAUCUGAGCUUCCCAUUGGGAUUCCUCCUACACACCACAUCCUUGUGGUCCUGACUGCAGAUAGAACACCUGCCACUCCACUGACACUCUGCACGGCGAUGCGCAUCUCCACAGCGGAAACACACCAGCCCCAACCCGGGCUUAGGAACGGCCCGAAACCUCUGAGUACUUCCUCCUGAAGUACCUGAGUCAGAAGAUUUGCCACGGUAAGGAUGGUGGCGCUGAUGCUGAGACUUGCCCCUCUUGUGAGCUGGACCUCCAGUGUUGCCCCUCCUCGUGUCCUGGCUACGAGGUUGAUCAACACCCGAAGACUUCUGCGACUCCAUGGUGUACUGGUGUUGCAUCUCCACACCCAGCGCCUGCUCCACUGUGGUACGGAAGUCCACCAACGGAAAGGCCCCAGAGCAUGCCUCAUAGAAGGCUUCAGACCCUGACGGAAUUGGCUCGCCUUCUCCAUCUCAUUAUAAGCCACAUGAGGGACAAAGCAGACCAUUUUGUUGAAGCCCACCUCAUACUCUGUGACAGACUUCUUCUCCUGCUUGUAGGACUGCAAGUCAAUCUUCAUUUUCUCCAGAAAGGUGACCGGGUAGAAUCUCCUUUCGAACUGCCUGAUGAAAACAUCCCAUGAUAGGACUCCUGGUGAGGAGGAGUGCGCUGCCUGCACGCCUCUCCACCAAAUCUGCGCCUCACCCUUCAGCAGCUGAGUGCCAAAGCGAACCCGAUCUUCAUAAGCAAUCUCGAAGACAUUCAUCUUAUCCUCCACAUAAGUCAGCCAAUCUGCCGCCUCGACCGGAGUACCACUGCCAUCAAAAGAAUCCAACUUCAUGCCCAUCCACUGCAUCAGAGAAAGACCAUUGACUGGAAGAGGCACCCCGGCCCCGCCACCAGGAACAGCACCCGCAGGGACAGCGCCCCCGGGCACUUCUCCACCUCCAGCUCCCUGAGCAGCACCUGCAGGGGCGACAGGAAUGGCUUGCCUCAGAAGGGCCAACUCCUGCUGCAUGGCCUGCAUCGCGGCUAACAUUGCCGCCGGACUCAUCGAGUCCCCACUAGGAGCUUGCGGACUACCCCGAGCUCUACGAGGCGGCAUAGCUGAAAGUCGCCUAGAGGGGGGUGAAUAGGGCGAAACUGAAAUUUACAAAUAUAAACACAACUACAAGCCGGGUUAGUGUUAGAAAUAUAAACGAGUCCGUGAGAGAGGCGCAAAACAAAUCCCACGCGAAUAAGCAAGUGAGACACGGAGAUUUGUUUUACCGAGGUUCGGUUCUUGCAAACCUACUCCCCGUUGAGGAGGCCACAAAGGCCGGGUCUCUUUCAACCCUUCCCUCUCUCAAACGAUCCACGGAUCGAGUGAGCUUUCUCUUCUCAAUCACUUGGAACACAAAGUUCCCACAAGGACCACCACAAGUUUGGUGUCUCUUGCCUCAAUUACAAGUGAGUUUGAUUGCAAAGAAAAGAUUAAGAAAGAAGAAAGCAAUCCAAGUGCAAGAGCUCGAAAGAACACAAGCAAAUCACUCUCUCUAAGCACUAUGGCGUUGUGUGGAAUUUGGAGAGGAUUUGAUCUCUUUGGUGUGUCUAGAAUUGAAUGCUAGAGCUCUUGUAGUAGUUGAGAAGUGGAAAACUUGGAUGCAAUGAAUGGUGGGGUGGUUGGGGUAUUUAUAGCCCCAACCACCAAAAGUGGCUGUUGGGAGGCUGUCUGCUCGAUGGCGCACCGGACAGUCCGGUGCACACCGGACAGUCCGGUGCCCCCUGCCACGUCAUCACUGCCGUUGGAUUCUGACCGUUGGAGCUUCUGACUUGUGGGCCCGCCUGGGUGUCCGGUGCACACCGGACAGGUAUUGUUCCUUGUCCGGUGUGCCAGUAUGGGCACGCCUGCCAUCUGCGCGCACAGAGCGCGCAUUUAUUGCGCGGCAGAGAGCCGUUGGCGCGGAGAUAGCCGUUGCACCGGAGUCGCACCGGACAGUCCGGUGCUCACCGGACAGUCCGGUGAAUUAUAGUGGACUUAGCCGUUGGCGUUUCCCGAAGCUGGCGAGUUCCUGAGGCCGACCUCCCUUGGCGCACCGGACACUGUCCGGUGUACACCGGACAGUCCGGUGAAUUAUAGUGGACUUAGCCGUUGGCGUUUCCCGAAGCUGGCGAGUUCCUGAGGCCGACCUCCCUUGGCGCACCGGACACUGUCCGGUGUACACCGGACAGUCCGGUGAAUUAUAGCCGAGUCGCCUUUGGGAAUUCCCGAAGGUGGCAAGUUUGAGUCUGAGUCCCCCUGGCGCACCGGACAUGUCCGGUGGCGCACCGGACAGUCCGGUGCGCCAGACCAGGGGUGCCUUCGGUUGCCCCUUUGCUCCUUUGUUGAAUCCAAAACUUAGUCUUUUUAUUGGCUGAGUGUGAACCUUUUACACCUGUAUAAUCUAUACACUUGGGCAAACUAGUUAGUCCAAAGAUUUGUGUUGGGCAAUCCAACCACCAAAAUUAUAUAGGAACUAGGUGUAACCCUAAUUCCCUUUCAAUCUCCCCCUUUUUGGUGAUUGAUGCCAACACAAACCAAAGCAAAUAUAGAAGUGCAUAAUUGAACUAGUUUACAUAAUAUGAGUGUAAAGGUUGCUUGGAAUUGAGCCAAUAUCAAUACUUACAAGAUAUGCAUGGAUUGUUUCUUUCUUAGAUAACAUUUUGGACCACGAUUGCACCACAUGUUUUGUUUUUGCAAACUCUUUUGUAAAUCCUUUUCAAAGUUCUUUUGCAAAUGGUCAAAGGUAAAUGAAUAUGAUUUUGCAAAGCUUUUUCGAGAUUUGAAAUUUUCUCCCCCUGUUUCAAAUGCUUUUUCCUUUGACUAAACAAAACUCCCCCUAAAGGAGAUCCACCUCUUAGUGUUCAAGAGGGUUUUGAUAUACAUUUUUGAAAAACUAAUUUUCUUCUCCUUUUGAACACAAUAGGAUACCAGUUGAUAAAUACUUUUGGAAAGCACUAAGUUUUUUUUGAAAAUGGUGGUGGUGCGGUCCUUUUGCUUUGGGCUCAUUUCUCCCCCUUUUUGGCAUGAAUCGCCAAAAACGGAAUCAUUAGAGCCCUCGAAGUACUAUCUUCCCCUUUGGUCAUAAGUAAAUGAGUUAAGAUUAUACCAAAGAUGAAGUCCGGUCCGUUUGCUUGGGGCUUUUACUCUCUCCCCCAAAGACAAGGUCCUUUUCUUGGAGUGAUGGCGAAGGAUGAGUUACGGAGUGGAAGCCUUUGUCUUUCGCCGAAGACUCCAAUUCCCUUUCAAUAUACCUAUGACUUGGUUUGAAAUAGACUUGAAGACACAUUAGUCAUAUCAAAAAGUAUGAAUGAGCUAUGUGUGCAAUCUAGCAAAAGAAGUUGCGAGAAUCAAGAAUAUUGAGCUCAUGCCUAAGUUUGGUAAAGGUUUGUUCAUCAAGAGGCUUGGUAAAGAUAUCGGCUAAUUGAUCUUUAGUGUUAAUGUAUGAAAUCUCGAUAUCUCCCUUUUGUUGGUGAUCCCUAAGAAAAUGAUACCGAAUGGCUAUGUGCUUAGUGCGGCUAUGCUCGACGGGAUUGUCGGCCAUUUUGAUUGCACUCUCAUUAUCACAUAGCAAAGGGACUUUGGUUAAUUUGUAACCAUAGUCCCGCAGGGUUUGCCUCAUCCAAAGCAAUUGCGCGCAACAAUGGCCUGCGGCAAUGUACUCGGCUUCGGCGGUGGAAAGAGCGACCGAAUUUUGCUUCUUUGAAGCCCAAGACACUAAGGAUCUUCCCAAGAACUGGCAAGUCCCCGAUGUGCUCUUUCUAUUAAUCUUACACCCUGCCCAAUCGGCAUCCGAAUAACCAAUCAAAUCAAAUGUGGAUCCCCGAGGGUACCAAAGCCCAAACUUAGGUGUAUAAGCCAAAUAUCUCAAGAUUCGUUUUACGGCCGUAAGGUGGGAUUCCUUAGGGUCGGAUUGGAAUCUUGCACACAUGCAAACGGAAAGCAUAAUGUCCGGUCGAGAUGCACAUAAGUAAAGCAAUGACCCAAUCAUCGACCGGUAUACCUUUUGAUCCACGGACUUACCUCCCGUGUCGAGGUCGAGAUGCCCAUUGGUUCCCAUGGGUGUCUUGAUAGGCUUGGCAUCCUUCAUUCCAAACUUGCUUAGGAUGUCUUGAGUGUACUUCGUUUGGCUAAUGAAGGUGCCCUCUUGGAGUUGCUUUACUUGGAAUCCUAAGAAAUACUUCAACUCCCCCAUCAUAGACAUCUCGAAUUUCUGUGUCAUAAUCCUACUAAACUCUUCACAUGUAGACUCGUUAGUAGACCCAAAUAUAAUAUCAUCAACAUAAAUUUGGCAUACAAACAAGUCAUUUUCAAGAGUUUUAGUAAAGAGUGUAGGAUCGGCUUUUCCGACUUUGAAGCCAUUAGCAAUGAGGAAAUCUCUAAGGCAUUCAUACCAUGCUCUUGGGGCUUGUUUGAGCCCAUAAAGCGCCUUAGAGAGCCUAUAGACAUGGUUAGGGUACUCACUGUCUUCAAAGCCGGGAGGUUGCUCAACGUAGACCUCUUCCUUGAUUGGUCCAUUGAGGAAGGCACUUUUCACGUCCAUUUGAUAAAGCUUAAAGCCAUGGUAAGUAGCAUAGGCUAAUAAUAUGCGAAUUGACUCAAGCCUAGCUACGGGUGCAUAGGUUUCACCGAAAUCCAAACCUUCGACUUGGGAGUAUCCCUUGGCCACAAGUCGUGCUUUGUUCCUUGUCACCACACCAUGCUCAUCUUGCUUGUUGCGGAAGACCCAUUUGGUUCCUACAACAUUUUGGUUAGGACGUGGAACCAAAUGCCAUACCUCAUUUCUAGUGAAGUUGUUGAGCUCCUCUUGCAUCGCCACCACCCAAUCCGAAUCUUGGAGAGCUUCCUCUACCCUGUGUGGCUCAAUAGAGGAAACAAAAGAGUAAUGUUCACAAAAAUGAGCAACCCGAGAUCUAGUAGUUACCCCCUUAUGAAUGUCGCCGAGGAUGGUGUCGACGGGGUGAUCUCGUUGGAUUGCUUGGUGGACUCUUGGGUGUGGCGGUCUUUGCUCUUCAUCCUCCUUGUCUUGAUCAUUUGCAUCUCCCCCUUGAUCAUUGUCGUCAUCUUGAGGUGGCUCAUUUGCUUGAUCUUCUACUUCAUCAACUUGAGCUUCAUUCUCAUUUUGAGUUGGUGGAGAUGCUAGCGUGGAGGAGGAUGGUUGAUCUUGUGCAUGUGGAGGCUCUUCGGAUUCCUUAGGACACACAUCCCCGAUGGACAUGUUCCUUAGCGCUAUGCAUGGAGCCUGUUCUUCACCUAUCUCAUCAAAAUCAACUUGCUCUACUUGAGAGCCGUUAGUUUCGUCAAACACAACGUCACAAGAAACUUCAACAAGUCCUGAGGACUUGUUAAAGACUCUAUAUGCCUUUGUGUUUGAGUCAUAUCCUAGUAAAAAGCCUUCUACAGUUUUAGGAGCAAAUUUAGAUUUUCUACCUCUCUUAACAAGAAUAAAGCAUUUGCUACCAAAAACUCUAAAGUAUGAAAUGUUGGGCUUUUUACCGGUUAGGAGUUCAUAUGAUGUCUUCUUGAGGAUUCGGUGAAGAUAUAACCGGUUGAUGGCGUAGCAGGCGGUGUUGACUGCUUCGGCCCAAAACCGGUCCGAAGUCUUGUACUCAUCAAGCAUGGUCCUUGCCAUGUCCAAAAGAGUUCGAUUCUUCCUCUCCACUACACCAUUUUGUUGAGGCGUGUAGGGAGAGGAGAACUCAUGCUUGAUGCCCUCCUCCUCAAGGAAGCCUUCGAUUUGAGAGUUCUUGAACUCCGUCCCGUUGUCGCUUCUAAUUUUCUUGAUCCUUAAGCCGAACUCAUUUUGAGCCCGUCUCAAGAAUCCUUUUAAGGUCUCUUGGGUUUGAGAUUUUUCCUGUAAAAAGAAUACCCAAGUGAAGCGAGAAUAAUCAUCCACUAUUACAAGACAAUACUUACUCCCGCCGAUGCUUAUGUAAGCAAUCGGGCCGAAUAGAUCCAUGUGGAGUAGCUCAAGCGGCCUGUCGGUCGUCAUGAUGUUCUUGUGUGGAUGAUGGGUGCCAACUUGCUUCCCGGCUUGGCAUGCGCUACAAAUCCUGUCUUUCUCAAAAUGAACAUUUGUUAGUCCUAAAAUGUGCUCUCCCUUUAGAAGCUUAUGAAGAUUCUUCAUCCCAACAUGGGCUAGUCGGCGGUGCCAGAGCCAACCCAUGUUAGUCUUAGCAAUCAAGCAAGUGUCGAGUUCAGCUCUAUCAAAAUCCACCAAGUAUAGCUGACCCUCUAACACUCCCUUGAAUGCUAUUGAAUCAUCACUUCUUCUAAAGACAGUAACACCUACAUCAGUAAAUAGACAGUUGUAGCCCAUUUGGCAUAAUUGAGAUACGGAAAGCAAAUUGUAAUCUAAAGAAUCAACAAGAAAAACAUUGGAAAUAGAAUGGUCAGGAGAUAUAGCAAUUUUACCAAGUCCUUUGACCAAACCUUGAUUUCCAUCCCCGAAUGUGAUUGCUCUUUGGGGAUCUUGGUUUUUCUCAUAUGAGGAGAACAUCCUUUUCUCCCCUGUCAUGUGGUUUGUGCACCCGCUGUCGAGUAUCCAACUUGAGCCCCCGGAUGCAUAAACCUACAAAACAAAUUUAGUUCUUGAUUUUAGGUACCCAAACUGUUUUGGGUCCUUUGGCAUUAGAAACAAGAACUUUGGGUACCCAAACACAAGUCUUUGACCCCUUGUGUUUGCCCCCAACAAAUUUGGCAACUAUUUUGCCGGAUUUGCUUGUAAGCACAUAAGAAGCAUCAAAAGUUUUAAAUGAAAUAGCAUGAUCAUUUGAUGCAAUAGGAGUUUUCUUUCUAGGCAACUUGGCACGGGUUGGUUGCCUAGAGCUAGAUGUCUCACCCUUAUACAUAAAAGCAUGAUUAGGGCCAGAGUGAGACUUCCUAGAAUGAAUUUUCCUAAUUUUGCUCUCGGGAUAACCGGCAGGGUACAAAAUGUAGCCCUCGUUAUCCUGAGGCAUGGGAGCCUUGCCCUUAACAAAGUUAGACAAGUUCUUAGGAGGGACAUUAAGUUUGACAUUGUCUCCCCUUUGGAAGCCAAUGCCAUCCUUGAUGCCAGGGCGUCUUCCAUUGUAAAGCAUGCUACGAGCAAAUUUAAAUUUCUCAUUUUCUAAGUUGUGCUCGGCAAUUUUAGCAUCUAAUUUUGCUAUAUGAUCAUUUUGUUGUUUAAUUAAAGCCAUAUGAUCAUGACUAGCAUUAACAUCAACAUCUCUAUAUCUAGUACAAAUAGAUACAUGCUCAACAAUAGAUGUAGAGGGUUUGCAAGAAUUAAGUUCAACAAUCUUAGCAUGAAGAAUAUCAUUUUUAUCUCUAAGAUUGGAAAUGGUAGCUUUGCAAACAUCAAAAUCUUUAGCCUUAGCAAUCAAAUUUUCAUUCUCUAAUCUAAGGCUAGCAAGAGAAAUGUUUAAUUCUUCAAUCCUAGCAAGCAAAUCAUCAUUAUUAUCUCUAGGAUUGGGAAUUGAAACAUUACAAACAUGAGAAUCAACCUUAGCAUUUAAACUAGCAUUUUCAUUUCUAAGGUUGUCAAUCAUCUCACGGCAAGUGCUUAGCUCACUAGACAAUUUUUCACAUUUUUCAACUUGUAGAGCAUAAGCAUUUUUAACCUUAACAUGUUUCUUGUUUUCUUUAAUUAGAUAAUCCUCUUGGGAGUCCAAAAGGUCAUCCUUUUCAUGAAUAGCACUAAUUAAUUCAUUUAAUUUUUCUUUUUGCUCCAUGUUAAGAUUGGCAAAGAGAACACGCAAAUUAUCCUCCUCAUCACUAUUAUUAUCAUCACUAGAAGACUCAUAUUUAGUAGAGGAGUUAGAUUUGACCUUCUUCCGUUUGCCGUCCUUUGCCAUGAGGCACUUGUGGCCGACGUUGGGGAAGAGAAGUCCCUUGGUGACGGCGAUGUUGGCGGCGUCCUCGUCGUCGGAGGAGUCGCUUGAGCUUUCGUCGGAAUCCCACUCCCGACAAACAUGGGCAUCGCCGCCCUUCUUCUUGUAGUACUUCUUUUUCUCCUUUCUUCUCCCCUUCUUGUCGUUACCUCGGUCACUGUCACUAGAUAUAGGACAUUUAGCAAUAAAAUGACCGGGCUUACCACACUUGUAGCAAACCUUCUUGGAGCGGGACUUGUAAUCCUUCCCCCUCCUUUGCUUGAGGAUUUGGCGGAAGCUCUUGAUGACGAGCGCCAUUUCCUCAUUGUCGAGCUUGGAGGCGUCUAUUGGUUGUCGACUUGGUGUAGACUCCUCCUUCUUCUCCUCCGUUGCCUUGAAUGCAACGGGUUGAGCUUCGGAUGUGGUGGCAUCAUCAAGCUCGUUGAUCUUCCUCGAGCCUUCGAUCAUGCACUCAAAACUCACAAAAUUCCCGAUAACUUCCUCGGGGGUCAUUUUAGUAUAUCUAGGAUUACCACGGAUUAAUUGAACUUGAGUAGGGUUAAGGAAAAUAAGAGAUCUUAGAAUAACCUUAACCAUCUCGUGGUCAUCCCACUUUACGCUCCCGAGGUUGCGUACUUGAUUCACCAAGGUCUUGAGCCGAUUGUACAUGUGUUGUGGCUCCUCCCCUUUGCGAAGCCGGAACCGACCGAGCUCCCCCUCGAUCGUUUCCCGCUUGGUGAUCUUGGUAAGCUCGUCUCCCUCGUGCGCGGUUUUGAGCACAUCCCAAAUCUCCUUGGCGCUCUUCAACCCUUGUACUUUGUUAUACUCCUCUCUACUUAGAGAGGCGAGGAGUAUUGUUGUUGCUUGAGAGUUGAAGUGCUCGAUUUGGGCCACCUCAUCCUCAUCAUAGUCCUCAUCCCCUACUGACGGUACCUGUGCACCAAACUCAACAACAUCCCAUAUACUUUUGUGGAGCGAGGUUAGAUGAAAUCGCAUUAAAUCGCUCCACCUAGCGUAAUCUUCACCAUCAAAAGUUGGUGGUUUGCCUAAUGGGACGGAAAGUAAAGGUGUAUGUUUGGAAAUGCGAGGGUAAUGUAGGGGGAUCUUACUAUACUUCUUGCGCUCUUGGCGCUUAGAAGUGACGGAGGGCACAUCGGAGUCGGAGGUUGAUGUUGAUGAAGUGUCGGUCUCGUAGUAGACCACUUUCCUCAUCCUCUUGUGCUUGCCGCCUUUCCGAUGCGGCUUGUGGGAAGAAGAUUUCUCCUUCUUCUCUUUGUGGUGAGAAGAGGAAGACUUUUUCUCCUUCGGUUUGGAGGAGUCCUUCUUCUUCUCCUUCCUCUUGGUGCGGGACUCUUCCGAUGAAGUGCUCCCGUGGCUUGUAGUGGGCUUUUCGCCGAUCUCCAUCUCCUUCUUGGCGUGAUCUCCCGACAUCACUUCGAGCGGUUAGGCUCUAAUGAAGCACCGGGCUCCGAUACCAAUUGAAAGUCGCCUAGAGGGGGGGUGAAUAGGGCGAAACUGAAAUUUACAAAUAUAAACACAACUACAAGCCGGGUUAGUGUUAGAAAUAUAAACGAGUCCGUGAGAGAGGCGCAAAACAAAUCCCACGCGAAUAAGCAAGUGAGACACGGAGAUUUGUUUUACCGAGGUUCGGUUCUUGCAAACCUACUCCCCGUUGAGGAGGCCACAAAGGCCGGGUCUCUUUCAACCCUUCCCUCUCUCAAACGAUCCACGGAUCGAGUGAGCUUUCUCUUCUCAAUCACUUGGAACACAAAGUUCCCACAAGGACCACCACAAGUUUGGUGUCUCUUGCCUCAAUUACAAGUGAGUUUGAUUGCAAAGAAAAGAUCAAGAAAGAAGAAAGCAAUCCAAGUGCCAGAGCUCGAAAGAACACAAGCAAAUCACUCUCUCUAAGCACUAUGGCGUUGUGUGGAAUUUGGAGAGGAUUUGAUCUCUUUGGUGUGUCUAGAAUUGAAUGCUAGAGCUCUUGUAGUAGUUGAGAAGUGGAAAACUUGGAUGCAAUGAAUGGUGGGGUGGUUGGGGUAUUUAUAGCCCCAACCACCAAAAGUGGCCGUUGGGAGGCUGUCUGCUCGAUGGCGCACCGGACAGUCCGGUGCACACCGGACAGUCCGGUGCCCCCUGCCACGUCAUCACUGCCGUUGGAUUCUGACCGUUGGAGCUUCUGACUUGUGGGCCCGCCUGGGUGUCCGGUGCACACCGGACAGGUACUGUUCCUUGUCCGGUGUGCCAGUAUGGGCACGCCUGCCAUCUGCGCGCGCAGAGCGCGCAUUUAUUGCGUGGCAGAGAGCCGUUGGCGCGGAGAUAGCCGUUGCACCGGAGUCGCACCGGACAGUCCGGUGCACACCGGACAGUCCGGUGAAUUAUAGUGGACUUAGCCGUUGGCGUUUCCCGAAGCUGGCGAGUUCCUGAGGCCGACCUCCCUUGGCGCACCGGACACUGUCCGGUGUACACCGGACAGUCCGGUGAAUUAUAGUGGACUUAGCCGUUGGCGUUUCCCGAAGCUGGCGAGUUCCUGAGGCCGACCUCCCUUGGCGCACCGGACACUGUCCGGUGUACACCGGACAGUCCGGUGAAUUAUAGCCGAGUCGCCUUUGGGAAUUCCCGAAGGUGGCGAGUUUGAGUCUGAGUCCCCCUGGCGCACCGGACAUGUACGGUGGCGCACCGGACAGUCCGGUGCGCCAGACCAGGGGUGCCUUCGGUUGCCCCUUUGCUCCUUUGUUGAAUCCAAAACUUAGUCUUUUUAUUGGCUGAGUGUGAACCUUUUACACCUGUAUAAUCUAUACACUUGGGCAAACUAGUUAGUCCAAAGAUUUGUGUUGGGCAAUCCAACCACCAAAAUUAUAUAGGAACUAGGUGUAACCCUAAUUCCCUUUCAAUAGCUGUAUCCACAGGGAUGAGAAUAAUAAGUAUAUGAGAUAAGCAUAGCAUCUCUCUAGAUAAUGUCAAAACUAGCACAGAGAAUAACAUAAUCAUAUCAAUAGCAAGACCGAAAACCCAUCCUACAUGUGCAGUGUGUCAAUUUAUUACUACUCCACUUGCUAGGACCUACAGCCUAUGCUCUGAUACCAACUGUAACACCCCACUGAUCCCACACAAUGGAUGAUACCAAAAAAAAAACCUUUCUACAAAACUUAUGCAACACAUAGAGAAAGAAAGUAUUGCAAAAUCCGGCAGCACCUCCCUUGAAAGUAGCAUAACAAGGGAAGCAUAUAGUUUAUACAGGAUAUAAAAGAAAGAUAAUUGACAUAGUAUAAUCAAAAUGCAACGGUAGAAAAGAACAUUCAUGACCAGACAAAAGAUAGACAUCUCAGCCCACCAAACUAAACAGUUCAACUACCAUGAAAGAUUAGAAUGUAAUAAUUCCCUAGACUUGACCCUUCCUGUUUAACAUCAUUAAUAAUCAGUUAUUCCUUUAUUUAAAAGUGUGGUGGCCGUGCUGCUACAUCCCUUCUUUCCCAAAGCAAAGAUCGGGUGCCUGCAUCAGACAAUGCAAGAGUGAGAUGAUACAUCUCAGCAAGUAAAAAAAACAAACAACAGUGGACAAUGCAAGCCAACCGUGCAUAAGCAACCACAUGGUUCCCAACUUCUUCCUUAAAUAUUAAUUUGCAGCAAGUAAGCAAGUAAUCAAUUACUCAAUGCCAAGAUGAAUUACAAAGUAAAGAUCCACCUUAUCCACAUCACCAAAAUAGGUUCCACACUUCACCCAUGAAUGCACAUGGCUACAGAUGCAACAUGACUUCUGCCUUCAUACCUCUAAGGAUAUGAAGCUGCAUCAUACCCCUUCUCGGGAAACAUAUGAUGCUCAUUGUACCGGUACGGUCGGACCAUAAGAUCGCGACGAAAACUUCAAUGCAAUGGAUGAUGAAUGCAUUAUGCAUGUCAACAACAUGAGUUCUUCCCAAAUAAAAUGUGCUAGACAUAUACUUCCACCCAUUUCACAUCAAUAACCACAUGGGUAACAUGAUCAAACCACACCCUCCACAUGUAUAAUCAAUAAAGCAUGAAUAAUUUCAAACGAUGGUACCCAAUUAGGAAUAUGGAUACGAACACAAAUAGCACAAACAUAAUCAAGUAUGAGACUCUUCAAUCAAAAGACGAAAUAACCAUCACUGUUUUACUUGCCUUUACCGAAGUUCGGGCAAAAUCUCUAAGAACGAUCCGGAAGUCCACCACCUGUUUUUGACACCCAACUUAGUGCACCAAAUUCUCAUGAAAAAAAAACUCAAAGACAACACCGCACCUACGCGCAAUCUCAAACCCCGCCGCGGUAACAAUUCUCCCCUCACUAACCAAACUGCAGCGGCGCUGCUUAACAAUUCCAUAACUUAAAAUUUAGGACAGCAGUGAUGAUAAACAAAAACUUCAGAGACAACUACAUAAAAUUCCCCACAAGUUUUGUAUACAACUCAUGAUUGAAUUCUAACAUCUACUUACCUCUAAACGGUCCUCAAAAUAAACCCUGCAAUCUGUUUUUUUUCUGAUUUGAGCAGCGUCAUACGCGGAUUCAAACAGCGAUAACUUUUAAAAUAUAAUUCCGAUUUGAGCGCAUAAGUACUUGUUGGAAAGAUAAGAAAAAGCCCUACAUGAUUCUCAUACUGAUUAACACUAAUUACUCCCGAAACAUCCCCAGAAACUGCUAACACUGCUGCUGUUCAUCACUCUGAAAAAUCUGUUUUCUGGACAGCCACAUACCCGGAUUCAAACGAUCAUAACUUUUAAUUUAUAACUCCAAAUUGAGCGCAUAAAUACUCGUUGGAAAGAUAAAACAAAGUUCUACAAGAUUCUCAUACUGAUUAACACUAAUUGCUCCCGAAAAAUCCCUAGAAACUGCUAACACUGCUGCUGUUCAUCACUCUGAAAAAUCUGUUUUCUGGACAGCCACAUACCCGGAUUCAAACGAUGAUAACUUUUAAUUUAUAACUCCAAAUUGAGCGCAUAAAUACUCGUUGGAAAGAUAAAACAAAGUUCUACAAGAUUCCUAAAUUGAUCCCCAUUAAAUCUUCACGAAAAAAAACUAAAAACUGCUGGAACUACCGCUGUUCAUCCACCACGCAAAAUUCUGGACAGCCCCCCUCUAUCUAAUCGCAAACGCAACAUCUAAUCAAUUGAAUCGCAGCGCAAAUGAACAAGGGAUGAACACAAAAGAAAAAUCACCUGGGUUCUCUCCUUUUCCUUCCUCCCUUCUUCCUUCCACCAAAACGAUUGGAGAUUCGCACCAAAAGACGAUGAUCCGAGCGGCACGGAGUAGCACCUAGGGAGGAGGGGAUUGGGGGGGGCUAGGGUUUUGGUGGCUGCAACAAUGGAGGGAGGAGGAGGUGGGCAGGGGGGACGGCGGCCAAGG